UACGGAGGGGGCUAGCGUUGUUCGGAAUCAUUGGGCGUAAAGCGCACGUAGGCGGCCUGUUAAGUCGGGUGUGAAAUCCCUCGGCUCAACCGAGGAAGUGCAUUCGAAACUGGCGGGCUUGAAUGUGGAAGAGGGUCGUGGAAUUCCCGGUGUAGAGGUGAAAUUCGUAGAUAUCGGGAGGAACACCAGUGGCGAAGGCGGCGACCUGGGCCAACAUUGACGCUGAGGUGCGAAAGCGUGGGGAGCAAACAGG
rnacentral:rRNA from 1 species